rnacentral:rRNA from 1 species
GAUGAACGCUAGCGGGAGGCCUAACACAUGCAAGCCGAGCGGUAUUGUUUCUUCGGAAAUGAGAGAGCGGCGUACGGGUGCGGAACACGUGUGCAACCUGCCUUUAUCUGGGGGAUAGCCUUUCGAAAGGAAGAUUAAUACUCCAUAAUAUAUUGAUUGGCAUCAAUUAAUAUUGAAAGCUCCGGCGGAUAGAGAUGGGCACGCGCAAGAUUAGCUAGUUGGUGAGGUAACGGCUCACCAAGGCGAUGAUCUUUAGGGGGCCUGAGAGGGUGAUCCCCCACACUGGUACUGAGACACGGACCAGACUCCUACGGGAGGCAGCAGUGAGGAAUAUUGGUCAAUGGGUGCAAGCCUGAACCAGCCAUCCCGCGUGAAGGACGACUGCCCUAUGGGUUGUAAACUUCUUUUGUAUAGGGAUAAACCUACCCUCGUGAGGGUAGCUGAAGGUACUAUACGAAUAAGCACCGGCUAACUCCGUGCCAGCAGCCGCGGUAAUACUGAGGGUGCAAGCGUUAUCCGGAUUUAUUGGGUUUAAAGGGUCCGUAGGCGGACUUAUAAGUCAGUGGUGAAAGCCUGUCGCUUAACGAUAGAACUGCCAUUGAUACUGUAAGUCUUGAGUAUAUUUGAGGUAGCUGGAAUAAGUAGUGUAGCGGUGAAAUGCAUAGAUAUUACUUAGAACACCAAUUGCGAAGGCAGGUUACCAAGAUAUAACUGACGCUGAGGGACGAAAGCGUGGGGAGCGAACAGGAUUAGAUACCCUGGUAGUCCACGCCGUAAACGAUGCUAACUCGUUUUUGGGCUUUAGGGUUCAGAGACCAAGCGAAAGUGAUAAGUUAGCCACCUGGGGAGUACGCUCGCAGGAGUGAAACUCAAAGGAAUUGACGGGGGCCCGCACAAGCGGUGGAUUAUGUGGUUUAAUUCGAUGAUACGCGAGGAACCUUACCAAGACUUAAAUGGGAAUUGACAGCUUUAGAAAUAGAGCUUUCUUCGGACAAUUUUCAAGGUGCUGCAUGGUUGUCGUCAGCUCGUGCCGUGAGGUGUUAGGUUAAGUCCUGCAACGAGCGCAACCCCUGUCACUAGUUGCCAUCAUUCAGUUGGGGACUCUAGUGAGACUGCCUACGCAAGUAGAGAGGAAGGCGGGGAUGACGUCAAAUCAUCACGGCCCUUACGUCUUGGGCCACACACGUAAUACAAUGGCCGGUACAGAGGGCAGCUACACAGCGAUGUGAUGCAAAUCUCGAAAGCCGGUCUCAGUUCGGAUUGGAGUCUGCAACUCGACUCUAUGAAGCUGGAAUCGCUAGUAAUCGCGCAUCAGCCAUGGCGCGGUGAAUACGUUCCCGGGCCU